CAGGGACUGACCAGAAAAGGGAGGGAGGAAGGGGGAGGGGGCUGGAGGCUGUCAGCUUAGCUUGGGGAGGAUCCGUUCGCCUAGGAGUGCUGUCUUCAAGGAAACGAUCCAAGGGAUUCCAACUCUGGAGCCUCAGCUGCUGCUCACUCCGGUCCGGGAUCCUGCAGUGGCACGCGCGCCCAGCUACCAGGGCUCGAGGCUCUGAAUCUCCCCGGGACCGUCAGGAGGUGGCACGCGAGGCUCUGCCAGGCGCUGCGUCUUGAGACAAGCAAGAGGAAUUAGGAAAGAUGUUGUGAGUUGCUUUCAGGCAGCUUUCUGAGAAGGUGUGUACCUUCAUCCACGUUAACACCAAUUUAUUCCAUGGAGAGGGAGAUGCUGAAAGAAGAAUAAGCUGUAAAGUUGGAGAUUGGAAUUAGAUUAUUAGUAUUUAAAAUAAAAGAGAAUUUAGAGAACAAC
rnacentral:lncRNA from 1 species